rnacentral:rRNA from 1 species
GAUGAACGCUGGCGGCGUGCCUAAUACAUGCAAGUAGAACGCUGAAGGAAGGAGCUUGCUCUUUCCGGAUGAGUUGCGAACGGGUGAGUAACGCGUAGGUAACCUGCCUGGUAGCGGGGGAUAACUAUUGGAAACGAUAGCUAAUACCGCAUAACAGUAGAUGUUGCAUGAUAUCUACUUAAAAGGUGCAAUUGCACCACUACCAGAUGGACCUGCGUUGUAUUAGCUAGUUGGUGAGGUAACGGCUCACCAAGGCGACGAUACAUAGCCGACCUGAGAGGGUGAUCGGCCACACUGGGAAUGAGACACGGCCCAGACUCCUACGGGAGGCAGCAGUAGGGAAUCUUCGGCAAUGGACGGAAGUCUGGCCGAGCAACGCCGCGUGAGUGAAGAAGGUUUUCGGAUCGUAAAGCUCUGUUGUAAGAGAAGAACGAGUGUGAGAGUGGAAAGUUCACACUGUGACGGUAUCUUACCAGAAAGGGACGGCUAACUACGUG